rnacentral:rRNA from 1 species
GUAGGGUGCAAGCGUUAAUCGGAAUUACUGGGCGUAAAGCGUGCGCAGGCGGUUAUGCAAGACAGAGGUGAAAUCCCCGGGCUCAACCUGGGAACUGCCUUUGUGACUGCAUGGCUAGAGUACGGUAGAGGGGGAUGGAAUUCCGCGUGUAGCAGUGAAAUGCGUAGAUAUGCGGAGGAACACCGAUGGCGAAGGCAAUCCCCUGGACCUGUACUGACGCUCAUGCACGAAAGCGUGGGGAGCAAACAGGAUUAGAUACCCUGGUAGUCCACGCCCCUAAACGAUGUCAACUGGUUGUUGGGAGGGUUUCUUCUCAGUAACGUAGCUAACGCGUGAAGUUGACCGCCUGGGAGUACGGCCGCAAGGCUG